CUGCAAAGUGAAGAACAGCCUUCAGAAGAACGUGAAUAUUCAAUUUAUGGCAACUUCACCACAGUUGGAUGCAUUGAAUUGUCAAAGAUGGAUGUGCACGAUUUGGAUGGAGAAGACUGCCCAUGACAGAAGGCAGAGAGUAGAGCACUUUCGGCUGCAGGUGUGUGUGGAUCAGGCCACUCUCCCAAUCCCCUGGAAGCUCUGGAGACCGCUGUUGGAGAAGACAGGUAGGUCCUAGUUCACUCAUAGAAUGGGGGACAGGAUUAUACAUGUCUACUAACAAAACUUCCUUUCAAACUGUAGUUUGUGAAGGGAAUAUUCAUGUUCUGGAAUAUUCUGUGAUGUUUAAAAUGCUGUACAAAAUAAAC